UGGGGAAUUUGGACAAUGGGCGAAAGCCUGAUCCAGCAAUGCCGCGUGUGUGAAGAAGGCCUUCGGGUUGUAAAGCACUUUUGUCCGGAAAGAAAUCCUUGGCUCUAAUACAGUCGGGGGAUGACGGUACCGGAAGAAUAAGCACCGGCUAACUACGUGCCAGCAGCCGCGGUAAUACGUAGGGUGCAAGCGUUAAUCGGAAUUACUGGGCGUAAAGCGUGCGCAGGCGGUUUGCUAAGACCGAUGUGAAAUCCCCGGGCUCAACCUGGGAACUGCAUUGGUGACUGGCAGGCUAGAGUAUGGCAGAGGGGGGUAGAAUUCCACGUGUAGCAGUGAAAUGCGUAGAGAUGUGGAGGAAUACCGAUGGCGAAGGCAGCCCCCUGGGCCAAUACUGACGCUCAUGCACGAAAGCGUGGGGAGCAAACAGGAUUAGAUACCCUGGUAGUCCACGCCCUAAAACGAUGUCAACUAGUUGUUGGGGAUUCAUUUCCUUAGUAACGUAGCUAACGCGUGAAGUUGACCGCCUGGGGAGUACGGUCGCAAGAUUAAAACUCAAAUGAAUUGACGGGGUCAUAGCUGUUUCCU
rnacentral:rRNA from 1 species